rnacentral:rRNA from 1 species
UACGUAGGGUGCAAGCGUUGUCCGGAAUUAUUGGGCGUAAAGCGCGCGCAGGCGGUCCUUUAAGUCUGAUGUGAAAGCCCACGGCUCAACCGUGGAGGGUCAUUGGAAACUGGGGGACUUGAGUACAGAAGAGAAGAGUGGAAUUCCACGUGUAGCGGUGAAAUGCGUAGAGAUGUGGAGGAACACCAGUGGCGAAGGCGACUCUUUGGUCUGUAACUGACGCUGAGGCGCGAAAGCGUGGGGAGCGAACAGG